GAUGAACGCUGGCGGCGUGCCUAAUACAUGCAAGUCGAGCGAACAGACGAGGAGCUUGCUCCUCUGACGUUAGCGGCGGACGGGUGAGUAACACGUGGAUAACCUACCUAUAAGACUGGGAUAACUUCGGGAAACCGGAGCUAAUACCGGAUAAUAUAUUGAACCGCAUGGUUCAAUAGUGAAAGACGGUUUUGCUGUCACUUAUAGAUGGAUCCGCGCCGCAUUAGCUAGUUGGUAAGGUAACGGCUUACCAAGGCAACGAUGCGUAGCCGACCUGAGAGGGUGAUCGGCCACACUGGAACUGAGACACGGUCCAGACUCCGACGGGAGGCAGCAGUAGGGAAUCUUCCGCAACGGGCGAAAGCCUGACGGAGCAACGCCGCGUGAGUGAUGAAGGUCUUCGGAUCGUAAAACUCUGUUAUUAGGGAAGAACAAAUGUGUAAGUAACUAUGCACGUCUUGACGGUACCUAAUCAGAAAGCCACGGCUAACUACGUG
rnacentral:rRNA from 1 species